UGUAAACAUCCUUGACUGGAAGCUGGUGUUUAGUUCUGGGGCUUUCAGUCGGAUGUUUGCA
rnacentral:pre_miRNA from 1 species